rnacentral:rRNA from 1 species
CAGAGGGUGCAAGCGUUGUUCGGAAUUACUGGGCGUAAAGCGUGCGUAGUCGGUAUUGAGAGUCGCGGGUGAAAUCCCAGGGCUUAACCCUGGAACUGCCUGCGAGACCUCAGUACUAGAGUGUGAGAGGGGAUAGUGGAAUACCCAGUGUAGCGGUGAAAUGCGUAGAGAUCGGGUAGAACACCGGUGGCGAAGGCGGCUAUCUGGCUCACAACUGACGAUCAGGCACGAAAGGCGUGGGGAGCAAACAGGAUUAGAUACCCUGGUAGUCCACGCCGUAAACUAUGCAUACAAGCUGUAGUGGGGUUUUACUCCUGCUGUGGCGAAGCUAACGCAAUUAGUAUGCCGCCUGGGGAGUACGGUCGCAAGACUA